GACGAACGCUGGCGGCGUGCUUAACACAUGCAAGUCGAACGGAAAGGCCCUGCUUUUGUGGGGUGCUCGAGUGGCGAACGGGUGAGUAACACGUGAGUAACCUGCCCUUGACUUUGGGAUAACUUCAGGAAACUGGGGCUAAUACCGGAUAGGAGCUCCUGCUGCAUGGUGGGGGUUGGAAAGUUUCGGCGGUUGGGGAUGGACUCGCGGCUUAUCAGCUUGUUGGUGGGGUAGUGGCUUACCAAGGCUUUGACGGGUAGCCGGCCUGAGAGGGUGACCGGCCACAUUGGGACUGAGAUACGGCCCAGACUCCUACGGGAGGCAGAAGUGGGGAAUAUUGCACAAUGGGCGGACGCCUGAUGCAGCAACGCCGCGUGCGGGAUGACGGCCUUCGGGUUGUAAACCGCUUUCGCCUGUGACGAAGCGUGAGUGACGGUAAUGGGUAAAGAAGCACCGGCUAACUACGUG
rnacentral:rRNA from 1 species